rnacentral:pre_miRNA from 1 species
UAUGGUUAGUUUUGCAGGUUUGCAUCCAGCUGUGUGAUAUUCUGCUGUGCAAAUCCAUGCAAAACUGACUGUGGU